CAUGUCUUUUUGAUUAUAAUUUAAAGUCUAACCUGCCCUAUGAUUUAUUAUUAAAUGGCCGCGAUAUCUUGAUCGUGCAAAGGUAGCAUAAUAAUUAGUUUUUUAAUUGAGAACUGGUAUGAAUGGUUGGACGAGGAAAAGGCUGUCUCAAUUUAAUUUUAAUUAGAAUUUUAUAUUUAAGUUAAAAAGCUUAAAUAUGUUUAAAAGACGAGAAGACCCUAUAGAGUUUUAUAUAAAAUAAAUUUUUAAUAUAGAAGUAUUUAAAAUUUAUUAAUUUAUUUUGUAUUUAGUUGGGGUGACUAAAAAAUUUAAUUAACUUUUUUUAUUUAAUUUAACAUUGAUUUAUGAAUAAGUGAUCCAUAUAUUAUGAUUAAAAGAUUAAAUUACCUUAGGGAUAACAGCGUUAUUUUUUUUGAGAGUUCUUAUCGAAAAAAAAGUUUGCGACC
rnacentral:rRNA from 1 species